rnacentral:misc_RNA from 1 species
UCCCGGUUGGCCCGGGCAGUCUCGCAUGAAAAAUACAACAUACGACAAGGGUUGCGCUCGUUGCGGGACUUAACCCAACAUCUCACGACACGAGCUGACGACGGCCAUGCAGCACCUGUCACUUGGCUCCCGAGGGCACCCCGCUGUUUCCAGCAGGUUCCAAGGAUGUCAAGCCUGGGUAAGGUUCUUCGCGUACCGUCAAAUUAAACCACAUCAUCCUCCGCUUGUGCGGGUCCCCGUCAAUUCCUUUGAGUUUUAGCCUUGCGGCCGUACUUCCCAGGCGGCAUACUUAUCGCGUUAGCUUCGUUUCGCAGGGGGUCGAUACCCCACAAAACUAGUAUGCAUCGUUUACGGCGUGGACUAC